rnacentral:lncRNA from 1 species
GUGGAUUAUGGUAUGUCUAUCUUUUACUUUAUAGCCAAUAUUCACUUAUAAGUGAGUACAAUAUUUGUCUUUCUGGGUCUGUGUUACCUCACUCAAAAUGAUUUAUUUUUCUAUUUUUUCCCCCUAUGGGACCUGAGACUGAAAUAGCUACAGUGCAAGACGGAGAGAGGCCUUCAUGCAUGGUGUGCAUUUGCCACCUAGUGACCACACUGAGGGAGAAGGAACAUGGACCAUCCACCCAGUCUUCCAAACAACAUCCCUCACCCAUAGUUGAAACUUUGGCUUCAGACCCUUCUCUGGCACUUCUGACAAUAAGUUUGGUGACCCAUGCUCUGGAGGAAGAAAGUGAAGAAGAGCAAGACUACUUCUCUGCAGCAAACUCUGAUGUUCUCUGUUCUUUCCUUACCACUGUUGUCAUGAGCAGCAUUUUUUCCCAUAGGUGCAUUGUUAUCCUUGCCAUGAGAGCAGACAAAAAUGAAAAAUAGUUGCCAAGUAACCAGAACUGCUGAUAAGAAACUUUGGGAAAUACCACUGAGAUGUGCUUUGGUAUUUUAUUUCUGGGAACAAACCAAUUGUCUUGGACUUUCACAGUACUCUUUUCUAUGUCUCACCCUUUACCACAAAGGUCCUUAAGUCCUUUGACAUGCAUAGUGUGAGGGAUUCUGGCACACAUUCUAGAACCUCGCAAAGUGGGGGGGGGGGGCUGCUAUCUGCUUUAUCAUCUUCAUUCCUGAAGUUUACUUUAAUUCUGAUUAGUUUGGCAUAAGGUCAUUUGUUGUAUGUAGUCAUCUGAGUUAUGUAUUGCCUGAUCCUG